rnacentral:rRNA from 1 species
AUUGAACGCUGGCGGCAGGCCUAACACAUGCAAGUCGAGCGGAUGAGAAGAGCUUGCUCUUCGAUUCAGCGGCGGACGGGUGAGUAAUGCCUAGGAAUCUGCCUGGUAGUGGGGGACAACGUUUCGAAAGGAACGCUAAUACCGCAUACGUCCUACGGGAGAAAGCAGGGGACCUUCGGGCCUUGCGCUAUCAGAUGAGCCUAGGUCGGAUUAGCUAGUUGGUGAGGUAAUGGCUCACCAAGGCGACGAUCCGUAACUGGUCUGAGAGGAUGUUCAGGCAAACUGAAACAGGGACAAGGUCCAGACUCCUACGGGAGGCAGCAGUGGGGAAUAUUGGACAAUGGGCGAAAGCCUGAUCCAGCCAUGCCGCGUGUGUGAAGAAGGUCUUCGGAUUGUAAAGCACUUUAAGUUGGGAGGAAGGGCAGUAAGUUAAUACCUUGCUGUUUUGACGUUACCGACAGAAUAAGCACCGGCUAACUCUGUGCCAGCCGCCGCGGUAACAC